ACGAACGCUGGCGGCGUGCUUAACACAUGCAAGUCGAACGGAAAGGCCCCUUUGGGGGUACUCGAGUGGCGAACGGGUGAGUAACACGUGAGUAACCUGCCCUUGACUUCGGGAUAACUUCAGUAAACUGGGGCUAAUACCGGAAAGGAAUCCUUGCUGCAUGGGGGGGUUUGGAAAGCUUCGGCGGUUUUGGAUGGAGUCGCGGCUUAUCAGCUUGUUGGUGGGGUAGUGGGUUACCAAGGCUUUGACGGGUAGCCGGCCUGAGAGGGCGACCGGCCACAUUGGGACUGAGAUACGGCCCAGACUCCUACGGGAGGCAGCAGUGGGGAAUAUUGCACAAUGGGCGGAAGCCUGAUGCAGCAACGCCGCGUGCGGGAUGACGGCCUUCGGGUUGUAAACCGCUUUCAGCAGGGGCGAAGCUUGUGGUGACGGUACCUGCAGAAGAAGCACCGGCUAACUACGUG
rnacentral:rRNA from 1 species